GGCCCAUCCUUUGCAUGUGCGCUGCCAAGCUUGCCGGCCGCCGCCGCCGCUGCUCGCCCCGGCGGCCUCGCCGUCGUCUCCCACCCCAUCGCAGCAUCGCCGGCGGCUUGGCCCCCGCCCUCCCUACGCUACCUACGCUGUUUCGCGAUGCACUCGCCUCGCCUCGCACCGCUCGCGCUACCCCCACUUCUCGCCGCCCCGUGCCCCUGGCACUCCGUCCCCACCGCCGCCGUCGCCGCCUCUUGCUCGGUCAGCUUUGGAGUCCGCACCGUCGAUCUGCAUCCUGCGCAGUUAGCCCCGCCCAUCCUCGUCGAUGGAGGUUAGAUCAAAGCAAAGCAAACAACACGAUGAUCCUGGAUGCCUUUGCAUCCUACCUUGGUGACGUACUCGUCGAGACAAUGAAAGAGGAGGCUGGCAUGAUGCUCGGUGUCUCUGAUGAGAUCAGGAAGCUGUGUGCCACUCUGGAGGGCCUCAAGAAAUUCCUGUAUGAUGCAGAGAAGAAGCACAUUGCCAGCGACUAUGUACAAGAUUGGUUCAGGAAGCUGAAGGGUGUGAUGUAUGAGGCAUCUGACAUUGCUGACCUUGUUCAGAUCAAGGCUAAGGAGCGGCACAUGUUCAUGGAGAACUCGUCAGGCUGCUUCAACUCCUUCCUGUUUUGCUUGCAGGAUCCUCUUUUUGCUCACAAGAUAGGAUGCCGAAUCAAGUCACUUAACCAGAAGAUGGAGGAUUUACGCAAGGAAGCUCCUCAACUAAAAUUCAUCAUCAGCCAUGCUGAUGGAAAUGAAAACAAGAAGGUCAUUGACAAGAUGGCGCCAGGGUUCGUCCUUGGAGACGCUGUUGGAAACAAGCUUGAGCAAGAUACUAAGAUGCUAGUAGAGGUGCUCACAAAAGAGAAGGCUAGCGGCGGAGGCAGUGAUAGCAACAUUGUUAACAUAGUUGCUAGUGGUGGUGGUGAAAGCAAUAACGGUAAUGUUGUUGCUUACAGUGGAAGUGAAAGCAACAAAGUUGCUGUUGUUGCUAUCCUAGGUGUCGGAGGAAUUGGCAAGACUACCCUUGCCAAAAAGAUCUUCAGUGAUCAAACGGUCAGAGACUCAUUUAACACGAAGAUAUGGUUGAGUGUCACUCAGGACUUUAAUGAAGUUGAUCUGCUCAGAACUGCCAUAGCUGCUGCUGGUGGUGAGCACGGUGGCAUUCAAGAAAAGUCCCUACUUGAGCCAAUUUUAUGCAGUACCCUGAUGGGGAAGAAAUUUUUGCUGGUGAUGGAUGACAUGUGGAAUCAAAAACCAUGGGACAAGGUGCUUAAAACUCCAGCCAAUGCAGGUGCUUGCGGAUCUCGAGUUUUGAUCACCACGAGAAAUGAAGGAGUUGCUCGAGAGAUGAAUGCUGUACACUUGCACCAUGUCAGCAAAUUGGGACCCCAAGAUGCAUGGGCCAUGCUCAAGGAACAGGUACAGUUGAGUGAAUCUGAGAGUAAAAGGCUCAAAGAAAGUGGGAUGAAGAUUGUAGAAAAAUGUGAUGGUCUACCACUUGCAAUUAAAGUAGUAGGAGGUGUCUUAUGCAAGAGAAGUAGAACAAAAAAUGAUUGGGAAAAUAUUCUGGACAAUCAGGUAUGGUCAAAAACUGUACUGCCUGAUGAACUAAACAGGGCAAUAUAUUUGAGCUAUGAAGAUCUACCUCCUAAUUUGAAGCAGUGCUUUGUAUACUACUCACUUUUUCCUAAAGAUGAAAUAAUUGGUCCAGAUAAGGUUGUUGCCAUGUGGACUGCUGAAGGAUUCCUUGGAACUGAUGGGAAUUCCACACAAUUAGGAAUUGAUUACUAUAAGGAAUUAGUUAUGAGAAAUCUUUUACAGCCUCAUGACGACUACUAUAAUCAAGAAUAUUGUAUCAUGCACGAUGUUGUCUGCUCAUUUGCUCAGCAUGUGGCUAGAGAUGAAGCUUUAGUGGUGGGGCGCACACAAAAUUUGACAAACCUCCCUUCAUCAAAAUUUUUCCGGCUAUCUAUAUCAGAAAAUGAAAUAGAGUGGAGUAAUUUACAGAAACAACAUUCACUAAGAACAUUGUUAUUAUUUGGAAAUAUUAAGUUUAAGCCUGGUGAUUCCUUAAGUAACCUGCCAUGCUUACGGACACUACACAUAAGAGCUGCACGAUGUGCUACAUUGAUUGGCUCAUUGUGUAACCUGAAACACUUGAGAUACUUGGAGCUAGGGUACACAAACAUAUCUGCAUUGCCCCAGAACAUUGGUAAAAUGAAAUUUUUAGAGCACAUUGGUCUUCGAGGUUGUAACAGUUUAGCAGAACUUCCUGGUAGCAUUACAGAGCUAGAGAAGUUAAUGCACCUCAGUAUCGAUGAAACAAAGAUUAAUGCUAUUCCGAGGGGAUUUAGAAGACUAGGAAAUUUGGAGAUGCUUUGGGGGUUUCUUGUCCACAUUAUAAUUGAAGACACUGGAGAGCAGAGAUGUAGUUUGGAAGAGUUAGAACCUCUUUCAAAACUCAGGAAGCUUAAGUUAAUUGGUCUAGAGGUUGUACCGUCUAGUUCUAUGGCAGCACUAGCUAAGCUUAAAAGCAAGGAAAAUCUUAUAUGCCUUGAAUUAUGGUGCACAAGCAGAGUGACAGUCAAUGGGAAGGUCAAGGAUCUUGCCAUGGAUGAUAAGGAACAUAUUAUAGAAGUCUUUGACAUGCUUUGCCCUCCACCCUGCUUAGAGGAGCUUACUAUUGGAGGAUAUUUUGGGGAGAAGCUCCCAAGUUGGAUAAUGAUGCCAGCGGAAUUCAUUGAGAACUUGAGACGGUUAGACCUACAGGACAUGGCUAACUGUGCACAUCUCCCUUCAGGUUUAGGUCAGCUCCCAGGCCUGGACUGCCUAGUAGUCAACUGUGCACCACAGAUUGAGCAAGUUGGAUAUGAUUUCUUCUUCCAAAGAGAACAAAAGAAAACUGAGAACAGGAGGCCUGGCAAUGAUGUAUUUUUUCCCAAGUUACAUGAAUUAUGUCUUCAAGGAAUGAUAAAUUGGAAGAAGUGGACAUGGGAGAAGCAUGUGGAAGCCAUGCCUAUUUUAAGUGUGCUCAAUAUCAGAAAUUGUAAGUUGUGCAAUCUUCCUCCUGGACUUUCCUACCAUGCAAAGGCACUUAGAAGAUUAUCUGUAGCUAAUGUUCAGCACCUGCUUUCUGUGGAGAAUUUCAGUUCAGUUGUUAAGCUUGAUUGCUAUGACAACCCUGAUCUAGAGAGGAUAGCCAAUCUUCCCAACAUGCAGAAUCUAACCAUUGUCGGGUGCCCAAAACUGGUGGUACUUGAUAAUGUGAAAUCACUUCGGAGCAUUCAAUUGGGGAUUCGGGAGAUGGAAACACUCCCGGCAUACCUGCAGAAGACAAAAUUGGAACAGUUGGAGAUUGCUUGUAGCUUAAAAAUGCUUAUAUUGAUGACCAAGAAAGAGUCUUGGUCAGAGUGGGAAAAGAUUAGUAAUAUCAUGCAUGUUAAGGGGUUUGCUAGUGAAAAUGGCAGGAGAUAUUACGUGUCCUACACAAAAUACCCCUUCUCCUUCGAUACAAAUUUUAAAAAUACCCUUGUGCUUCCAGAGGAAGCGGGAUAUGAAGCUAAUGUCGCAAUGGAGAGGAUAUGAAUGAUCAUUGUUAAUAUAACUAUUGACUACUUGGAAAAAAUAGCGUUGAACUACACCUCAUGGCGUGACAUGGAAAUUGCGACUAUAUCUACUUGGAGAAAGAGAGGUGAAGAUACAUAGUCGAGACAAUCCAUUUUGCAAUGAGACUCUACGAUCUCCUGCAAUUCCAAGAUAUGCUUCCUAAUCGAUAAACAAGCUUGAUCCCUUUGUAGUUUCAGAAUAAUCCAUGACUUCAUGUUCUCUCUAAGAGAAGUUGCGAGGCAUUGCAGCUCUAAGAGGAGCACACAAGACUUCUUCUGUAACUCCACUAGCUUGUUUCAUUGGAGGAGCAAUAGAGUGAUGAGGCAUCUUUCCAGGCAGAGGAGAAGCAGGCAAUCCUUCUCUCUUCUGUAACACUCUCCCCCCUGGUUGCUCCAAUGGAGGAUGAGGAGAUUGAUGAGGAAUCCUUGCAGGUAGAGAAGGAGCAUCCAAGUCAGCAUCUUUCUUGUGUAUAACUCUUCCCCUUGGUUGUUCCAGUGGAGGAAGGGAUUGAUGAAGAAUCUUUGUAGGUAGAGAAGCAUCGAUGCCAUCUUCUUUAUUGUGUAGAAGUCUUCCCUUCGGUUGCUCCAAUGGAGGAAGGGAUUGAUGAGGCAUCUUUGUAGGUAGAGAAGCAUCUACACCAUCUUCCUUGUGUGGAACUCUUCCCUUUGGCUGCUCCAAUGGAGGAGGAAGAGCCUGACGAAGAAUCUCGAUAGGCGGAGAAGCAUCCAAACUAUCGUCUCUCUUGUGUUGGACUCUUCCCCUUGGUUGCUCCAUUGGAGGACAAAGCGAUUGAUGAUGAUGAUGAGGAGGAGAAGGAGGACUGUGACGAGGCGAAUUUGCAGGUGGAGGAGCACACGGAUCCUCGUCUUCUUGCUCCUGUAAGCCACCUCCUCCCUUCCCGCCUUUCAUGGAGUCUCGAACAACUACAGAUGGAGGUGGUGGACCAUUCAUGAACUUGGGUGGAUCUGGCCCUUGAAGAGGAGGGCUUGAGAAGUUUUCGGUCUGGAUUGAUCACUUGGGGCAUCCUUGCAGCAGCAGCAGUUGCCCAUAGAUAAAGCUAGCUUGUGUUCAGUACUCUACCUUGCAAGGAAUAUAUUAGGAGAUAACUAGCAGCCUGCUAGCUAGGCUGCUACUUUGCUAUGUAAAUGGAAUAAUCUUUACUGAUAGCUACCGAAACAACCAUUCAGGUUUGAGAUGCCUAAUCAUUACAAACAAUGGCAGAUGAUAGCAGAUUAAAAGAAAA